rnacentral:rRNA from 1 species
AUUGAACGCUGGCGGCAGGCUUAACACCUGCAAGUCGGGCGAGCGGCGGACGGGUGAGUAACGUAUGGGGAUUUGCCUGAUGGAGGGGGAUAACUCCUGGAAACGGUAGCUAAUACUGCAUACCACCAGAUGAAUCACUAUGGGAUUAGCUUGUAGGUGAGGUAACGGCUCACCUUCGCGACGAUCCCUGGCUGGUUUGAGAGGAUGAUUGUCCGCACUGGGACGGAGACAAGGCGAUGACUCCUACAAGAGGAAGCGGUGGGGAAUAUUGCACAAUGGGCGCAAGCCUGAUGCAGCCAUGCCGCGUGUAUGAAGAAGGCCUUCAGGUUGUAAGGUAGUUACCGUCGGGAGGGGUUACCGGCAGAAGAAGCACCGGCUAACUCCGUGCCGGCAGCCGCGGUAAUUC